CGGGACACGUGGUAUCCUGUCUGAAUAUGGGGGGACCAUCCUCCAAGGCUAAAUACUCCUGACUGACCGAUAGUGAACCAGUACCGUGAGGGAAAGGCGAAAAGAACCCCGGCGAGGGGAGUGAAAAAGAACCUGAAACCGUGUACGUACAAGCAGUGGGAGCCUCUUAAUGGGGUGACUGCGUACCUUUUGUAUAAUGGGUCAGCGACUUAUAUUCUGUAGCAAGGUUAACCGAAUAGGGGAGCCGAAGGGAAACCGAGUCUUAACUGGGCGUUAAGUUGCAGGGUAUAGACCCGAAACCCGGUGAUCUAGCCAUGGGCAGGUUGAAGGUUGGGUAACACUAACUGGAGGACCGAACCGACUAAUGUUGAAAAAUUAGCGGAUGACUUGUGGCUGGGGGUGAAAGGCCAAUCAAACCGGGAGAUAGCUGGUUCUCCCCGAAAGCUAUUUAGGUAGCGCCUCGUGAAUUCAUCUCCGGGGGUAGAGCACUGUUUCGGCAAGGGGGUCAUCCCGACUUACCAACCCGAUGCAAACUGCGAAUACCGGAGAAUGUUAUCACGGGAGACACACGGCGGGUGCUAACGUCCGUCGUGAAGAGGGAAACAACCCAGACCGCCAGCUAAGGUCCCAAAGUCAUGGUUAAGUGGGAAACGAUGUGGGAAGGCCCAGACAGCCAGGAUGUUGGCUUAGAAGCAGCCAUCAUUUAAAGAAAGCGUAAUAGCUCACUGGUCGAGUCGGCCUGCGCGGAAGAUGUAACGGGGCUAAACCAUGCACCGAAGCUGCGGCAGCGACGUUUAUGCGUUGUUGGGUAGGGGAGCGUUCUGUAAGCCUGCGAAGGUGUACUGUGAGGUAUGCUGGAGGUAUCAGAAGUGCGAAUGCUGACAUAAGUAACGAUAAAGCGGGUGAAAAGCCCGCUCGCCGGAAGACCAAGGGUUCCUGUCCAACGUUAAUCGGGGCAGGGUGAGUCGACCCCUAAGGCGAGGCCGAAAGGCGUAGUCGAUGGGAAACAG
rnacentral:rRNA from 1 species